GCAUGCCGCGUGCAGGAUGAAGGCCUUCGGGUUGUAAACUGCUUUUGUACGGAACGAAACGGUCUCUUCUAAUACAGGGGGCUAAUGACGGUACCGUAAGAAUAAGCACCGGCUAACUACGUGCCAGCAGCCGCGGUAAUACGUAGGGUGCGAGCGUUAAUCGGAAUUACUGGGCGUAAAGCGUGCGCAGGCGGUGAUGUAAGACAGAUGUGAAAUCCCCGGGCUCAACCUGGGACCUGCAUUUGUGACUGCAUCGCUAGAGUACGGUAGAGGGGGAUGGAAUUCCGCGUGUAGCAGUGAAAUGCGUAGAUAUGCGGAGGAACACCGAUGGCGAAGGCAAUCCCCUGGACCUGUACUGACGCUCAUGCACGAAAGCGUGGGGAGCAAACAGGAUUAGAUACCCUGGUAGUCCACGCCCUAAACGAUGUCAACUGGUUGUUGGGUCUUCACUGACUCAGUAACGAAGCUAACGCGU
rnacentral:rRNA from 1 species